GUGAGGAAUAUUGCGCAAUGGAGGCAACUCUGACGCAGCCAUGCCGCGUGCAGGAAGAAGGCGCUACGCGUUGUAAACUGCUUUUAACCGGGAAGAAACCCCAGGACGUGUCCUGGGUUGACGGUACCGGAGGAAUAAGCACCGGCUAACUUCGUGCCAGCAGCCGCGGUAAUACGAAGGGUGCAAGCGUUAUCCGGAUUCAUUGGGUUUAAAGGGUGCGUAGGCGGAGCGUUAAGUCAGUGGUGAAAUCCUGCAGCUUAACUGUAGACUUGCCAUUGGUACUGGCGCUCUUGAGUGCGCUUGAAGUGGGCGGAAUGUGCCGUGUAGCGGUGAAAUGCUUAGAUAUGGCACAGAACACCAAUUGCGAAGGCAGCUCACUAAGGCGAUACUGACGCUGAGGCACGAAAGCGUGGGGAUCGAACAGGAUUAGAUACCCGGGUAGUCC
rnacentral:rRNA from 1 species